rnacentral:sRNA from 1 species
CACUCGUCGGGAAGGGUGAGAACCUUCGACCAGGGUUCGAGUCGAGCGCAAGCGAGACAACGUUGCCACAGGCAACGGCCCGAAGGGUGAGGAGCUUUAGCUCCGAAUAAUCCUUCCC